rnacentral:rRNA from 1 species
UGAAUACGAGACGCUACGGCGUCGAAGCAGUCUAUGUCAGACUUCCAAGAAAAGCUCGCAAUGUCAUAAACAAAUAAUGCCUGUACCAUAACCGACACAGGUGGGUAGGUAGAGUAUACUAAGGGGCGCGAGAUAACUCUCUCUAAGGAACUCGGCAAAAUGACUCCGUAACUUCGGGAGAAGGAGUGCCUUAUUUAUAAGGUUGCAAUAACAAGAUCCAAGCAACUGUUUAUCAAAAACACAGGUCUCCGCUAAGUCGUAAGACGAUGUAUGGGGGCUGACGCCUGCCCAGUGCCAGAAGGUCAAAGAAGUAGGUUAGCAUUCGCGAAGCUGAUAACUGAAGCCCUGGUGAACGGCGGCCGUAACGAUAACGGUCCUAAGGUAGCGAAAUUCCUUGUCGGGUAAGUUCCGACCCGCACGAAAGGCGUAAUGAUUUGGAUACUGUCUCGGAGAGGGGCUCGGUGAAAUAGACUUGUCUGUGAAGAUGCGGACUACCUGCACCUGGACAGAAAGACCCUAUGAAGCUUUACUGUAACUUGAAAUUGAAAUUGGACUUUAUUUGCGCAGCAUAGGUGGGAGGCGUUGAGAGUAUUCUUGCGGGAAUAUUGGAGCCAUCAGUGAGAUACCACUCUUGUAAUGUUAGAUUUCUAACUUCGUAUCAUUAUCUGGUCAAAGAACAGUUUCAGGCGGGCAGUUUGACUGGGGCGGUCGCCUCCCAAACGGUAACGGAGGCGUACAAAGGUUUCCUCUGAACGGGUAGAAAUCGUAUCUAGAGUGUAAAGGCAUAAGGAAGCUUGACUGUGAGACCUACAAGUCGAGCAGGGACGAAAGUCGGUCUUAGUGAUCUGACGGUGCUGAGUGGAAAGGCCGUCACUCAACGGAUAAAAGUUACUCUAAGGAUAACAGGCUGAUCUCCCCCAAGAGUUCACAUCGACGGGGAGGUUUGGCACCUCGAUGUCGGCUCAUCGCAUCCUGGGGCGGUAGUACGUCCCAAGGGUUGGGCUGUUCGCCCAUGAAAGCGGUACGCGAGCUGGGUUCAGAACGUCGUGAGACAGUUCGGUCCAUAUCCGGUGUAGGCGUUAGAAUAUUGAGAGGAGCCUUCUUUAGUACGAGAGGACCGAGAAGGACAUACCUCUGGUGUACCAGUUAUCGUGCCAACGGUAAACGCUGGGUAGCUAUGUAUGGAGAGGAUAACCGCUGAAAGCAUCUAAGUGGGAAGCCCACCUCAAGAUAAG